ensembl:miRNA gga-mir-1676 gga-mir-1676
CGAAGGAAUGAACUCUCUGGGCCUGACUCAUCCCCUUUGCUCCUCUCUGGCAGCACCGAGAGCGAAGUGGGUGGGAAUGUCCCCGGAGAUGCUUCCCACG